AUUGAACGCUGGCGGCAUGCCUUACACAUGCAAGUCGAACGGCAGCACGGACUUCGGUCUGGUGGCGAGUGGCGAACGGGUGAGUAAUACGUAAGCAACCUGCCUGUUAGAGGGGAACAACAGUUAGAAAUGACUGCUAAUACCGCAUAUGCCAUAGUGAGGACAUCCUUACAGUGGGAAAGGAGAAAUCCGCUAACAGAUGGGCUUGCGUCUGAUUAGCUAGUUGGUGGGGUAAUGGCCUACCAAGGCAACGAUCAGUAGCCGGACUGAGAGGUUGAACGGCCACAUUGGGACUGAGAUACGGCCCAG
rnacentral:rRNA from 1 species